rnacentral:rRNA from 1 species
GACGUAGGGUGCGAGCGUUGUCCGGAUUUAUUGGGCGUAAAGAGCUCGUAGGCGGCUCGUCGCGUCGACCGUGAAAACCCGCGGCUUAACUGCGGGCUUGCGGUUGAUACGGGCGGGCUAGAGUUCGGUAGGGGAGACUGGAAUUCCUGGUGUAGCGGUGAAAUGCGCAGAUAUCAGGAGGAACACCGGUGGCGAAGGCGGUUCUCUGGGCCGAUACUGACGCUGAGGAGCGAAAGCGUGGGGAGCGAACAGG